rnacentral:rRNA from 1 species
UACGAAGGGGGCUAGCGUUGCUCGGAAUCACUGGGCGUAAAGGGUGCGUAGGCGGGUCUUUAAGUCAGGGGUGAAAUCCUGGAGCUCAACUCCAGAACUGCCUUUGAUACUGGGGAGCUUCGAGUCCGGGAGAGGUGAGUGGAACUGCGAGUGUAGAGGUGAAAUUCGUAGAUAUUCGCAAGAACACCAGUGGCGAAGGCGGCUCACUGGCCCGGUACUGACGCUGAGGUGCGAAAGCGUGGGGAGCAAACAGG